AGCCCCGGCUAACUACGUGCCAGCAGCCGCGGUAAUACGUAGGGGGCGAGCGUUACCCGGAAUCACUGGGCGUAAAGGGAGCGUAGGUGGCCUAACAUGUCAACUGUGAAAACCCGGAGCUCAACUCCGGACUUGCAGUUGAAACUGGUAGGCUUGAGGACGGUAGAGGAAGACGGAACUGCCAGUGUAGGGGUAAAAUCCUUAGAUAUUGGCAGGAACGCCGGUGACGAAGGUGGUUUUCUGGGCCGGUUCUGACACUGAUGCUCGAAAGCCAGGGGAGCGAACGGGAUUAGAUACCCCGGUAGUCCUGGCCCUAAACGAUGUUCACUAGGUGUGGGGAGCGGAAAGCUCUCCGUGCUAAAGCUAACGCGAUAAGUGAACCGCCUGGGGAGUACGCCCGCAAGGGUGAAACUCAAAGGAAUUGACGGGGACCCGCACAAGCGGUGGAGCGUGUGGUUUAAUUCGAUGCUAAGCGAAGGACCUUACCAAGGUUUGACAUGCUAAUGGUAGUGAAUUGAAAGAGGAACGACCACACUAUGUGUGGAGUUAGCACAGGUGGUGCACGGCCGUCGUCAGCUCGUGUCGUGAGGUGUUGGGUUAAGUCCCGCAACGAGCGCAACCCCUGCUCUUAGUUACCAGCGGUAAGGCCGGGUACUCUAAGAGGACCGCCGCCGACGAGGCGGAGGAAGGGGGGGAUGAAGUCAGGUAUCGUGCCCCUUAUAUCUUGGGCGACACACGCGCUACAAUGGGUUGGACAGAAGGGACCAAGACAGCGAUGUGGAGGAAAUCCUCAAACCAACCCCCAGUUCAGAUUGCAGGCUGAAACCCGCCUGCAUGAAGCCGGAAUCGCUAGUAAUCGCAGAUCAGCCAAGCUGCGGUGAAUACGUUCCCGGGUCUUGUACACACCGCCCGUCAAGCCACCCGAGUUGGUAACACCUGAAGAUGAGUAUCCUAACCGAAAGGAGGGAGCUUGUUUAGGGUGGGAUUGGCAAGGGGGGCUAAGUCGUAACAAGGUAGCCGUACCGGAAGGUGCGGCUG
rnacentral:rRNA from 1 species